UUCAUAACGUAAGCGUCCAAGGCCCAAACAAAAAAUCAUUAAGCAGCAGCUGGAAUUCAACAACCUUAUGUCACCGGAAAUUGGGACACACCAGCUGGAAUCAGAUACCGCCGGCGACAUGAAUUUCAAGGAAACAGAAUUGACCUUAGCCUUGCCCGGUGAGUCUCGCACAUUAAAGGAGAUGAACGGAGGGACAAUAGGGACUAAACGUGGAUUUUUGGAGACCGUUGAUCUAAAUCUUGGUAGUCCCCGUGCUGAUUGUAGUGAUAAAGAUCGUAAUGAGUCAGAGAAUGAUGUCUUAACCGCGGCCAAGCCUCCGGCAGCAAAGGCACAAGUGGU
rnacentral:misc_RNA from 1 species